CAUUAAGAAGCUAUUAACCCAGCACUAGCCUUUUAAGCUAGAGAGAGAGGGUUGCUUCCCCUCCUUAAUGA
rnacentral:tRNA from 1 species